GAACGCUGGCGGCGUGCUAACACAUGCAAGUCGAACGCGAACGGGGCUCGGCCCAAGUAGAGUGGCGCACGGGUGAGUAACGCGUGGACAAUCUGCCCUUAUGACUGGAAUAACAGUUGGAAACGGCUGCUAAUACCGGAUACGCUCAGGAAGAACUUUUGAGGAAAGGCGGCCUCUGCUUGCAAGCUGUCGCAUAAGGAUGAGUCCGCGUCCCAUUAGCUAGUUGGCGGGUAACGGCCCACCAAGGCAACGAUGGGUAGCCGAUUUGAGAGGAUGAUCGGCCACACUGGGGACUGAAACACGGCCCAGACUCCUACGGGAGGCAGCAGUGGGGAAUAUUGCGCAAUGGGCGAAAGCCUGACGCAGCGACGCCGCGUGAGGGAUGAAGGGUUUUUUCGGAUCGUAAACCUCUGUCAGAAGGGAAGAAACUGCCGUGCUCUAAUCAUCAUGGCAUUGACGGUACCUUCAAAGGAAGCACCGGCUAACUCCGUGCCAGCCGCAGC
rnacentral:rRNA from 1 species